rnacentral:misc_RNA from 1 species
GUAUUGAUUGCGUGUGACCGCAAAAAUAACAUUCUACACUGUAUCGAGUUUUGUGUGAAAACGUGAGCCCUCCUGCAAAGGGGACCCACGCGGUGAUGCACAAAGGGGUGAGAUGGAUGUGUGAGAGUGCUCGGGCGUGCACGACCUUUCGAAAGGUCAGCGACAGCCCUCGCACCCGCAUUGUACGAUAAUGAUCCUUCCGCAGGUUCACCUACGGAAA